rnacentral:rRNA from 1 species
UACGAAGGGUGCGAGCGUUGUUCGGAAUUAUUGGGCGUAAAGCGCACGUAGGCGGCCUUGUAAGUCUCACUGUGAAAGUCCGGGGCUCAACCCCGGGAUGCCAGGGGAUACUGCGAGGCUGGAGACAAGCAGAGGUUGGUAGAAUUCCGGGUGUAGCGGUGGAAUGCGUAGAGAUCCGGAGGAAUACCAGAGGCGAAGGCGGCCAACUGGGCUUGUUCUGACGCUGAGACGCGAAAGCGUGGGGAGCGAACAGG